UACGGAGGGGGCUAGCGUUGUUCGGAAUUACUGGGCGUAAAGCGCACGUAGGCGGCUUGGUAAGUUAGAGGUGAAAGCCUGGAGCUCAACUCCAGAAUUGCCUUUAAGACUGCCGAGCUAGCAGGUGAGAGAGGUGAGUGGAAUUCCGAGUGUAGAGGUGAAAUUCGUAGAUAUUCGGAAGAACACCAGUGGCGAAGGCGAGUCUCUGGGCAACAACUGACGCUGAGGAGCGAAAGCGUGGGGAGCGAUCCGG
rnacentral:rRNA from 1 species